AAACGGGGUGUAAAUGGCUGCUUUCCCGAGCAGGGGUGCGGGUCCGGGUGCCUGAGGGCAGCCCUCCCUGCCUGGGCACCACACGCUGGCCGGCUGGUUGCAAAGCUCCUCGCUCGCAAUACCAAGGCUUGUCUGUAUUUAGAUUACGAACUCUCUCAUAGUGAAUUUCUAAGGGAAAUGCAAUGGGGCUCCAGCAACUGCUUUCCAGCGAGAUUCUGCUUUUUUCUCACUUUUCCUGUUGGAUUCGUUGAGGUCCAAGAAGGUCAGGUAAGGUGCCCAAAGUUCUGUGCUAAAGUCAGCAAAACAAACAAACAAUAAAACUAACACACACUUUCUCUUGAAGUGUAUGCCAAAGACAAUGUUUCAUAAUCUGUCUAGAGAACUCUGGAAAACAAUUCUAGAUGUCUGAACAGUAGUCCUACAUCGCAGAAGUGAUUUGCAGGCUGGAAAGCAUUACUUCAAGAGUAACUUUAAACUUACCCAUGGUACUGCUGUGGUAUGUUUGGAUUUUUUGAACUUUCUUCUAAGAAUACAUCUGCUAUUAGCAUGGGCUGAAAAAACAGUCUGAAAAAGGCAGCUUUAUAUCAAAUUAAUAUUGCCUCAUCUUUGUUUCUUAGUGUCCUUUCUCCUACUCUGCAUUUUUGGCAUGCCACGCGGUAAAUGAAGCAUUCUCUUAACCUUUUUCGUGGUAGAGUUGACUUUCACUUCUUUGAUUUGGAUGGAGUGGACUGAGCGUGCCUGCCUGCUAGCAGUAAGACUGGCCCAUGUCUUCGCGGAUUGGGUGAGGACAGAACAGCUCUGGGAGAGGGUGCUGCUUUGAACCACUAUGUUCACGCACAGCGAAGCCAAUUUCCAUGCCCUUGUACCACACCAGAGUCUUGGUUACUUUCUCCGGUUCCUCGUCUGCAGUCUUGUGAGCUGGAGCAAAUACAAUUCCCGAUCUUUGGCACUUUGCUUUAAAAGUUGCUCUCUGGCUCCAUCUUCUGUUUCGUUUUGUUUGUUGGCUUUUGGUUUUGUUUUCUCAUUUCGGUAUAUCAGAGUGAGAUUUUUCUGAGUUUUCGGAACUAAAUUUCUUUUAAAAAGUAGGUAAUCACUUCUCGUGUGACCAGUUGCAGCGACGUGGAGAGAGGAUCUGGACAUGCAGGUGAGCAGGAGAGUCCAGGAGGAGGGACCUGGACUUCUCCCAGCUCUGCUGUCAGCCCUUUUUUCAGAUACUGUAUCUUCAAGGUUGUUGCUACAUGUUAGAACAAGAGGAGAAAUCCCUAGCCCCAAAAGCCCAGCAGCAGGUACCCUUUUGGCAUAAAGGUAACUGUUCUGCUGAAGGAUGAUGGUGACAUGAUCUGGCAAGAUCGUGACAUGUCACAGACCUUUCAGCUAAAACUGGCAAGCACUGGGGCCACCCAGUAGGAGUGGGACAAUUUAUUAAACAGGUUGGCAUCUUUGCAGGUACUAACAAAAACUGUCCUUUUCUAAAGUGCUCAGCAAUAAUUAGAGUAAUAUUUAUAUCCCCAAGAACAAGCCUUUCUUAAAGAAAAAGCUGUUUUAUGGUGGUUAAAAUUUAAGAACUAUUUAACUUGUGCCCCUUUGAGCCAUUACAUAAACUGAUUGCAAUUGCUCUCCCUCUGAAAGAGGGGGACUGGUGUGGGAGAGAAAUUGCACAUUGCCCGAGUCGGUGCUUAGAUUCAGAAGUGCUCCAUUGACAGUGAGCCAGAUUUCAGCUUCUGAGGCCUCUUCCUCAAUUACCCAUGCAAAACCAAAAGGCCUGUACACACAAAGGAUAACCACAUAAAAAAGGUAAAAACACUUGGCAACAAAUAGAGCCACCUCUCAAUAGCCAUCGAAUGCAGCAGCCUUUUACCCUCUCCUGUGCUUUUCUUCUCUGCUAUUUGGUAAAUUAAAUGUUUUCCCACUUUGCAGUAUAUGGGAUUUACUAUUUCUUCAAAACUCGAUGAGCUAUGCAACUGCAAAGCUUUGUGCUUAAAAAACUCUCCUUCGCAGUUCCCUUGUUUUGUCAGUAGUGAUAGCCUUCAUGAGAUAGUUACUAAAAAAUAUUUUUAAUUUCAGAUGCUACAUCAUUCUUAGAAGCAUGUGGGAAACAAAUAUAGAUCCAUUCUUUAUAUAGAAAGGCAAACUUCACAGAGUACCAAAGCAUUCUGUGGAAAAGACACUUGUCCAUCUUGCUUAAAAAUAUAAGACCUUGUAAAAAUGCACCCUUAUUUUGCUCCAAGUAUUUAUCAUUCAUACAACGAAUAACACUGCCCAUCACAUUUCUGAUAAUAAACCCUACGUGCUCAUUAUGACAGUUUUCUUCUGUAUUUCAUUAGUUUUGUUUCAUGUUGGCAUUCAGAAAAUGAGGACCUAUCAAAAAUUGGUACAAAGAUCAAAUCUGCUGUAUGUUGAAGUUCUGAAAAAAAAUGCUUUAAGUUCUGAAAAAAAAAGGUUUAAAAUAUGGGCAAGGCACUGUGCAUGGCACUCUGUAGAACCUUAUUGAGAAGUACACUAAUUUCUAGCUGCUGUGCAAGUGCUGUUGGCUUUGUAACUGACUGUGAACAUGUGAGAACAAAAAAGUGAUGCUGUGUCAGUGUGUGGGCUGCAAAUGAGAACUCCUGGCUUAUGUAUUUUGCCCCAUAAGCAGUUCUGGCAUUGUAUGCAGUCUUAUUGCUGUUUCCUUUGUCCUCACUGAUCCAGCUAUAGUAUUACUCACAUUUUGGGCUUCCAACCUGCUGUCAAAAAUCUCUAAUUUUAUUCACUGUCUUUUUAGUGGAACUCUCUGAUCACUAAUUCUAAGAUCAUUAUUCUUGUAUUUUUCUAGGCUUCGGGACUUCAGAACUUGCUUUUCUAAAUCUUUCUUCCCUCUGUGAUACUGAAGAAUCAUGGAAUAGCAUCAACAAAUAUUUUUCCUAUUUGGAAAAUGGAUUAAAUUAUGUAAUUUGCUUGAAAGGUAAAUA